UAGUCCGCACNAGCGCACCCUUAUCCUUAUUUGCCAGCACGUAAUGGUGGGAACUCUNCNCUGAGACUGCCGGUGACAAACCGGAGGAAGGUGGGGACGACGUCNAGUCAUCAUGGCCCUUACGAGAUGGGCUACACACGUGCUACAAUGGCAAGUACAAAGGGUUGCAAACUCGCGAGAGUAAGCGGAUCCCAUAAAGCUUGUCGUAGUCCGGAUUGGAGUCUGCAACUCNACUCCAUGAAGUCGGAAUCGCUAGUAAUCGUGGAUCAGAAUGCCACGGUGAAUACGUUCCCGGGCCUUGUACACACCGCCCGUCACACCAUGGUGAGUGGGCUGCAAAAGAAGUGGAUAGCUUANCCUUCGGGAGGNCGUUCACCACUUUGUGNUUCAUGACUGGGGUGAANUCNNUAGCNNNGUANCCGUANGGGGNGGNNGNGGGCUGGAUCACCUCCUU
rnacentral:rRNA from 1 species